rnacentral:rRNA from 1 species
GAUCAUGGCUCAGGAUGAACGCUGGCGGCGUGCUUAACACAUGCAAGUCGAGCGAAGCAAUUUAAGUGAAGUUUUCGGAUGGAUCUUAGAUUGACUGAGCGGCGGACGGGUGAGUAACGCGUGGAUAACCUGCCUCACACAGGGGGAGUAACAGUUAGAAAUGACUGCUAAUACCGCAUAAGCGCACGGUACCGCAUGGUGCAGUGUGAAAAACUACCGUGGU